CGAGGGACCAGCGACAAUACCACACUUAGUGGGAACCAGACUCCGCUCGUCUCUCCGUAAAGACAGAGUUUUCCUGCAGUCUUGAACCCCCUUUCAGAUUGAUGAAGACUUCAUAAUCACCUGCUUUGGGGGAAACGGCAGGGAGUGCUCUCCUCAACUCAAGAGCCCCAGGAAAAGCGGCUUCUGGGAAGGCUGAAGCCCGGGCACCGCCCACGGCCUGCUUUCACAAGGAACGUGUGGUGGGCAGAGGCCGGUCCGUCGCUCGCUCGGAGAAGGAUCAGGGAGCUGAGGCCAGGCGGGAGGAUGGUGACCCGGUCCUGUUGUCGCGAGCGCAGUCGCGGACCCGGGCCGGCGGGAGACUUCCUUAGGGCGGUGCCUGCUCCGUGAGGAAAGCAUCGGUUCCAUUCCUGCACCCGGAGCUGCGACACCCAGCUAACUAAGACCUGUCCGUUCGCCAGUGCGGACUCCACCAGUCUUAGUGCUCCCGUUCCCACCCCACCUCCGACCUAGAUCCCUCUCUCACCCCAGCCUCAAUCCCACCCCUCUUCAGACCUGGGUCCCUUUUCCAAUUCUAGUCUUAACCAAUCCAUCACUGAAGACCCACACAUCCUCCCAGGACCUCCCCUCAGCCUUUCUAAGACAUGAAUCCUUCUCAUCACUUCAGAUCUUGAUCUCUGUCUCCCAUCUUGAUCCUCUCUCCACUCUCACACCAGACCUGGAACCCUCUUCUAUACCUAGGACCUAUCUCCAUCCUCACCUCAGACUUGACCCUUUCUUCCCACCCUGGCGUGGCGGAGAUUCUCACCUCCUAACUAGCUAAGCGCUGCCCUCACUGUCUUACCCUAACUCCUCCAGCUUCGCAGCCCUCAAAGGCUCUGCUCAAAGGAAAUGUGCAGGCAGGAGGGCAGGUGGCGGCUCGGCAGUGUGUUCCCGACUCCCGCGACUCCCCGGUACCGAGUCUCUCAGCCCUGCCCCGCAAGUCACUACAAGGCGUGUUCGGAUCAAAGUGAGCCACAAUGGGUUGAUUCUAUGCCUAAAAGCAUAAUAAGAGCUGUCAAGCUGUGGAAGGAAGAAGGCUCCUGGUAGAGCAAACCAAGUUGUAAAAGAGCGACCAAUAAUUGAGCUGCUUGGGUGAACAAUUUGAGGUCUUUUAAAAUGUUAAUUUGUACCUGGACAGUUCCCAGUGGCGACAAAAAGGCACAGACUCUUCCAGAAGAACAAUUCUCCUCAUUAUGAGAAUCUCAUUUCAUUUACAAAACGUGGUCUGCCUAUGAAAAAUGAAUCUCAAGGUUCCUUACACAGAAACGAUUCUGACAAUUAAAACUAACAGUGUCAAAAACAAAACAAAACAACAACAACAACAACAACCAAAACUAACAGUGUCUAGAAGGAAAGCCAAGGGUAUUUGCUUCGAGUUAUCGGUGAGAAAUUCAGGUAAAGUAUACUUUCCCCUCGCUAAGCCUAAAGGGAUGCUGAACAUGCCAUUUGAACUGCAGCUUAAUUCUGAACCUUUUCUUUAAACUAUUAAAUGUUUUCUUUAUUUUUUUAAAGAUUUAUUUAUUUAUUUUAUGCAUGUGAGUACACUGUAGCUGUCUUCAGACACACCAGUAGAGGGCAUCGGAUCCCAUUACAGAUGAUUGUGAGCCACCAUGUGGUUGCUGGGAAUUGAACUCAGGACCUCUGGAAGAGCAGUCGGUGCUCUUAACCAUUGAGCCAUUGUUCCAGCCCCUAAGUGUUUUCUUUAAACAGAAAUUACAAAAACCAAUGUCUUGUCCAGCAUGCCUUUAAUUCCAGCACUUGGGAGGCAGAGGCAGGUGGAUUUCUGAGUUCUAGGCCAGCCUGGUCUACAGAGUAAGUUCCAGGACACUAUACAGUAUAGUAUAGAAACACUAUACUGUCUCAGAAAAAACCAAAACCAAAACCAAAAAACCAAAAAACCAAAACCAAUGUCUUCAUUAUAUUACUCAUAUUGGCAACAUGGUUCCCCUGAUAACAAAUAUGAAUGGUCUGGGGAACAGUUCUCCAAGAUUUACUUAUCAAUUAAAUUUUAUUUAUUUACUUAUUAUUGUGUGUGUGUGUGUGUGUGUGUGUGUGUGUGUGUGUAGAGCCCUGCUGUGCUGUGGUGACCAGAGGACAAUCUGUGGAGCUGGCUCUUUUCUUCUACUUCUACUUGGGUUCCAGGGAUCAGACUCAGAUGGGCAGCAGAGCAGCAAGUGUCUUUACCCUCGGAGCCAUCUUAUCAGCCCUGGUUUAUCUUGUUUAAACACCUCCCACACACUCCUAAAGGGGAUUAUACAAUAUGUUACUCUUCAAUUUGCUCUUUAAAUUUUUUUUUCGAGACAGGGUUUCUCUGCAUAGCUCUGGCUGUCCUGGAACUCACUCUGUAGACCAGGUUGGCCUCAAACUCAGAAAUCCGCCUGCCUCUGCCUCCCAAGUACUGGGAUUAAAGGCGUGUGCCACCACAAAAUUUGUAAUAGAGUGCAAUAGUCCUGUUUCCAUUUCAUCGUGUAUGCAUGCACUUCAUUGCGUAUGUAUAUACAUACCAUUCUCUUCAUCCCUUUUCUGAAUUGUUAUUGUUUUUUUUAAAUUUUUAAAAAAUUUAUUUAUUAUAUGUAAGUACACUGUAGCUGUCUUCAGACACUUUUUCUUCUCUCUCCAGUCCCGUUCACUCUGGCCCAAAGAUUUAUUUAUUUAUUAUAUGUAAAUAUACUAUAGUUGUCUUCAGACACCCCAGAAGAGGGCAUCAGAUCUCAUUAUGGAUGGCUGUGAGCCACCAUUGUGGUUGCUGGGACUUGAACUAAGGGCUCUUAACCACUGGGCCAUCUCUCCAGCCUCCUGGUUUUGGUUUUUGAUAGUGUUUCUAUAUAGUCCAGGCUGCUGCUGCUCCCAUCUCCUAAAUGCUGGGAUUACUGAUAUGUAAUCCUAUUGAACCUCGUUCUCUUUAACAGUUCUAGAGUAGGGACUGGGGAGAGGGCUUUGUGGAUCAAGAGUUUAUUAUACAAGCAUAGGAUCUGAGCUCUAAUCUCAGCACUCACAUAAAAAGCUAGGUAUGAUGUCAUGUAAUUCAAAUGUCACACUCACUCACUCAUACACACUCACAACUAGGUCCACAGUACACUACACCAUUGUAUAUGUGUACUAUGUAGUUACUCUCCCGAUAGAUAGUUUUCCCUCUCUCUCUCUCCUUUUUAAACCAUUACAAAUAGUGCUUCACUGACUUUCUUGUACAGGACAGGCAAUGUUGGCAUUGGUGGGCAUAAAUCAUAUGCAUUUUAAAGUGUGGAUAAGUAUUGCCAAACUGUACUCAGAAUACAUUAUAGUGAUCUUAACGUAUCUUAAUCACAAUCACUUAAAAAACUUGUGGGAUUUUUUUUGUUUUGUUUUGUUUUGUUUU
rnacentral:lncRNA from 1 species